rnacentral:tRNA from 1 species
GUCAGGAUGGCCGAGUGGUCUAAGGCGCCAGACUAAAGUUCUGGUCUCCAUAUGGAGGUGUGGGUUCUUAUCCAACUUCUGACA